UGGCAGAUUGCGGGGAUAGUUGGGGUCUUGUGCUCCUGUGUUCCUCUCAGCUGCGGUUGGAUCUGUUGCGGCACACAGGCCACACCAAUCACACUGCCAUCACGAAUGCCAUCAAUACUGAUGAGCCUGUUUGUCACCGAGACACCGAGAAGGACGGAGAAAAGCGGAGUGGCGGAGGUGAACACAACCUGCACCCGCUGCCACGUCUGACAUCUCAUACAUCACGCAGGGAAUUACAGGUGAAUGAGUGAACCCUGCAGCCAUACAGCUACCGGAGUUGCUCGUGACUCCUCACACCCACCCCCAGUACUCUUUAGCCUCAUGCCAUCUGGACAGAAGGUACUGGGGUAUGUGGGCUGUUACUGCCAGACUAGACUAGGGAACUGCUCUCUCCCUGAGCCAGCCAGGUACAGCAAGAGCCAUCUACCCAUGUAAACAUCCACCACCACCUGAUAUUACAACGUCAUCGUAUUGGCUAGUGGUUGUCAAGUGGCGGAUCACCAAUGCAGACGCAAUACAUUUCAGUUGAUCGAACCGAGCGGUCGUACCUCAGUGACUCCUGUUCUUUCAAACACAAACCAUCAAAGAUUUGCAAGUGGCACAACAGACAAAAACAUCGUGUUGCGUUCUCUAUCGGCGGGAGAUUGAGAGUUUAUAACAAUGUCACAGACAUUGAGCAAAAGUUGCCUCGCUGUCUGGGUGGGAGGGAUGACAUACUCUCUCUUCCGGGUCAAUUAGAGUGACAUUAGCCAAUCACGGGCAUCUGUGAGCUCGAGUAUGUGGAAGAAGGUAGAUAGUAGCUUCUUCUGAUUGUGUUAAACUGCUUUGGGAUACAACAUAAACAACAGUUUGAACAAAAGAUGUGGUUGGUUGGCUUCAUGUGUCUCAGACAAAGAAUCGUUAUCCUGGUAGGUGUUGUCAUGAUGGGGAGAGCCAGACGGUGGGUGGGAAUUGGCAGGUAAGCAAAUUGUGAAGAAAUGGGGAAAACAGACCCAUGAACCCUUGAAAUAUUCUGUAGUAAUAACGAGUCUUUAUUGGUCACGUAUACAUUACAGCACAGUGAAAUUCUAUUCUUCGCAUACCCCAGUUGGGGUCCAAGUGCAGGGUCAGCCAUGAUACAGCGCCCCCUGGAGCCGACAGGGUUAAGGGCCUUGCUCAAGGGCCCAACAGUGGCAGCUUGGCAACGCUGGGGCUUGAACCCCCGACCUUCUGAUCAGUAACCCAGAGCCUUAACUAAGCCACCACUGAACCUCGGUGAAAUGACAACAUGGCUUGUUGAAAAAGAAUACUGAUGGACAGAGAAGUGUUGCAUAUUCAGUUCAAAACAGGUCUCAUCAAAAAUGGAGUCCACGGCUCUAAUCAAAAGUGAACCAUAACAUACCACAAUACCGGUUCAUUUUCUCAUUGUUUUCAUGUAUGAGAAGCAAGGACAAUGAAACUCUACUUGCCAUCAUCCCCAACGCCAGUUUCUGCUCGGCCUUCUUUUAACAGUAAUCUAACAAGGUCUAUUACUCCCUUAAUCUGUUCUAUUAACACAGACAGCUACCUAAAACGGUUCUGUCAGAACAACAGCCACUGAGGUUUGAAGAGCAAAUCAAGAUCAGCCAAUGGGCAUUGGAAGGAGUCAUUCAUCUGCACCAGGCAAGCGAAUGAGCACAGAGAAGGAUAGUGGCAAUAAGUCAAUGAAAAGGUUAAAAGUGGGAAUUCUAGCAUGUUUGUCUUGCACCUCCGUGGUUAGGGGUUCGAUUCCCGCCUCUGCCCUGCUCGCACGUUGUUUGCAUGUUCUCAAUCUGCUUUGGGAGUUUCGUCCGGGUACUCUGGUUUCCUCCCCCGGUCCAAAGACAUGCAGUUUGCGCUAACUGGCAUCUCUAAAUUCUCCGUAGUGUGUGAAUGGGUGUGUGUGUGCGAUUGUGCCCUGCGAUGGGUUGGCACUCUGUUCAGGGUGUCCCCCGCCUUGUGGCCCGAGUCCCCUGGGAGAGGUUCCGGGCUCCCUGCGACCCUGUCUAGGGGAAGUGGUACGGAAAAUGGAUGGAUGGAUGGAUGGAUGGAUGGAUGUGGGAAUUCCAUAACAACCAGCAAUCCAAUCGCAAGGGCAUCGAUGGAUACCAAACCAAACAACCAACAAACACAGUCACAGAAACAUUAUUUACUAGUCACCAUCACCAACCAAUGUGAUGAGAGAAUUGUCUUUCGAGCGCACUCUGUGUCUCCCUGAACGUGAAUCAAGUAGAGCGCCUGGUCGCUGUCGCUGUCUACAUUCUGCUUUUACAUUGCGCUCCACUGAUCUCGCUGUGUUUGGGAGAGUUCGCUCAGGUCCUUCAGUUCUUUGUUCCCCCAAGGCCACCUUGUAGUGUACCUGUGCUCGCUAGAGGUGAUGGUCUACCUGGCCCUGCAGGGUCACGGCUACAAGGCUAGAGAAAUUCG
ensembl:lncRNA